rnacentral:tRNA from 1 species
GGAGCUGUAGCUCAGUGGUAGAGCUCUUGCCUAGCAAGUGUGAGGCACGGGUUCAAUCCUUAGCAUCA